rnacentral:piRNA from 1 species
UUCUCAGUAUGACCAUUUGUCCAAGUUAGC